rnacentral:lncRNA from 1 species
GGAGAUGGGGAGUGAAGAAAAGUUGUCUCUGCUGUUGAAGUUGCUAGUGUUGUUGCUCCUGCCUUGUAUGUCUCUUGCUGGGGACAAUGCCAAUGUUGUUGCUCAUGCCUGUUAUGUCUCUUGUUGGGGACAAUGUUAUUGCUCAUGCCUGUUAUGUCUCUUGUUGGGGACAAUGUUAUUGCUCUUGCUUGUUAUGACUCUCGUUGGUGGCUGCCUGUUAUGUGCUAGUAUUGUUGCUCAUACCUUUACUGGUGUGUUUCCCCUAUGUCUCUUGCUGGGGGCAGUGUUGAUGUGUUUCCCCUAUGUCUCUUGCUGGGGGCAGUGUUGAUUAUUAUUUGAUGAUGCCUAUUAUGUCUCUGCCUUGUUGCUCUUGCUGGUGCCAGUGCCUUGUAUUGCUCCUGUUGGUACCAGUAUAAUUGAUGCCGCCUGUUAUGGUGCCAAUAUUGUUGUUCAUGCCCUUGCUGGUGUAUUUCCCCUGCGGUCAUGCCCAUUGACCUUGCAUGUGCUCUUGACUUUCUUUGCCUUGCCUCACCC